rnacentral:lncRNA from 1 species
CUGAAAUAAACGAAAGACUGGGUGAAUGGAGGACCGAUUAGUUUAGUUGGUCAAAUGAGAGACUGAUAACAUAGAAAAUGAAUGGGCAGGAAAUAAACUGGAAAAAAAAAGAGUUAAGAAAUAUGAGGGAAAUUAGAACAUGCAUAUGCUGUUGGAGGGGGUACCGAUACCUGGUGAUUCCUGUAAUACAUUUAUUUAUGUAUUUAAAUACAUUUAUUUUUGGGUGCUUCUUAUGCUCCAAUGAAUGGCUGAAUUGCAUAUUAAUUAGCUCAGUGCCUGGGUCAAGGGGUUGAUGCCCUGAGUAUGUGUAUGGCAUUUAAUAUGUCGAUGGAAAAGUUAUAUAUAUGUGUAUCUAUUACUUGGCCCAGUUGCUAGGUCGAGGGGUUAAUGCCUCGAGUAUGUGUAUGACAUUUAAUAUGUCGAUGAAAAAUUUAUAUAUAUAUGUAUCUAUUACUUGGUCCUGUUGUUGGGUCGAGGGGUCAAUGCUCUAAGUAUGUGUAGGGCAUUGAAUAUGUCGAUGGAAAUUUACAUAGAUAUAUGCAUCUGUAGUGGUCUAAUUGCUGGGCCAAGGGGUUGAUGCCCCGAGAAAUUUAAUGGUAUUUAAAUCUUACAAUUGACUGUUAAAAUUAUGGUGUGUGAGUGUAUGGAUUGAAAGAUGGAUGUGUUUGGAGGUUUACUCAAGAGUGGGCAUCAUUGACAUAAGUAAAAUCAAGAAAUUUUUUUAGGGGGAGUUGUAGUGAGAGGAUGAGGUAGGAAGGGCUGAGAGUCAGCAAGUUGAAAUGGAUAAAAAAUGACAGUUUGGGGCUGGAGACCGGCCGCACAGAGAACAUUUACAGAUAACAUAUUUAGGGGAGGGUUUGGUGUAAGUAAAGGGGGCAUGAAUAGUAGGGGAAACACUAAAAAUAACUGGAUCAAAUAGAGUGGAAUUGGGGAAAAUUGAGUAGAAACAUAGGGGAGUCCGGGAAGGGGACUGGGCAGAGAUUCCUUGAAGAAAUGGUGAAAUUACUGCAACUUGGGAGUUUGUGACAUAAUGUAGUAAAGAUAAGUGUAUAUAGUAGGUAGAGAGAUAGGGAAAGGGAAAAUGGUAGGUUGG